UAGAGUUUGAUCCUGGCUCAGAUUGAACGCUGGCGGCAGGCCUAACACAUGCAAGUCGAGCGGUAACAGUCCUUCGGGAGCUGACGAGCGGCGGACGGGUGAGUAACGCGUAGGAAUCUACCCAGUAGAGGGGGNUAGCCCGGGGACAACUCGGAUUAAUACCGCAUAAACUCUAUGGAGCAAAGGGGGCUUCGGCUCUCGUUACUGGAUGAGCCUGCGUGGGAUUAGCUAGUUGGUGAGGUAAUGGCUCACCAAGGCGACGAUCUCUAACUGGUCUGAGAGGAUGAUCAGUCACACUGGAACUGAGACACGGUCCAGACUCCUACGGGAGGCAGCAGUGGGGAAUAUUGCACAAUGGGCGAAAGCCUGAUGCAGCCAUGCCGCGUGUGUGAAGAAGGCCUUAGGGUUGUAAAGCACUUUCAGUAGGGAGGAAGGCCAAGUAGUUAAUACCUGCUUGGAUUGACGUUACCUACAGAAGAAGCACCGGCUAACUCCGUGCCAGCAGCCGCGGUAAUACGGAGGGUGCGAGCGU
rnacentral:rRNA from 1 species